rnacentral:rRNA from 1 species
AUUGAACGCUGGCGGCAGGCCUAACACAUGCAAGUCGAGCGAGCGGCGGACGGGUGAGUAAUGUAUGGGGAUCUGCCCGAUGGAGGGGGAUAACUACUGGAAACGGUAGCUAAUACCGCAUACUAUCAGAUGAACCCAUAUGGGAUUAGCUUUUAGGUGGGGUAAAGGCUCACCUAGGCGACGAUCUCUAGCUGGUCUGAGAGGAUGAUCAGCCACACGGGGACUGAGACACGGCCCAGACGCCUACGGGAGGCAGCAGUGGGGAAUAUUGCACAAUGGGCGCAAGCCUGAUGCAGCCAGGCCGCGUGUAUGAAGAAGGCCUUAGGGUUGUAAAGUACUUUCAGUGGGGAGGCGUUACCGGCAGAAGAAGCACCGGCUAACUCCGUGCCAGCAGCCGCGGUAAUUC